GACGAACGCUGGCGGCGUGCUUAACACAUGCAAGUCGAACGGAAAGGCCCUGCUUUUGUGGGGUGCUCGAGUGGCGAACGGGUGAGUAACACGUGAGUAACCUGCCCUUGACUUUGGGAUAACUUCAGGAAACUGGGGCUAAUACCGGAUAGGAGCUCCUGCUGCAUGGUGGGGGUUGGAAAGUUUCGGCGGUUGGGGAUGGACUCGCGGCUUAUCAGCUUGUUGGUGGGGUAGUGGCUUACCAAGGCUUUGACGGGUAGCCGGCCUGAGAGGGUGACCGGCCACAUUGGGACGGAGAUACGGCCCAGACUCCUACGGGAGGCAGCAGUGGGGAAUAUUGCACAAUGGGCGGAAGCCUAAUGCAGCAACGCCGCGUGCGGGAUGACGGCCUUCGUGUUGUAAACCGCUUUCGCCUGUGACGAAGCGUGAGUGACGGUAAUGGGUAAAGAAGCACCGGCUAACUACGUG
rnacentral:rRNA from 1 species